GUUUGAUACCCCGAAACUACGUGAGCUACUUCAAGACAGCCUAUUAAUAGGGCUAACCCAUCUCUGUGGCAAAAGCGUGGGAAGAACUUUGAGUAGAGGUGACAAACCUACCGAACCUAGUUAUAGCUGGUUGUCCAAGAAAUGAAUAAAAGUUCAGCCUCUAAGCUUCUCCUUUCACCUGAACUUAACCCCUUUAGAUGUAUUAAAGAAACUAAGAAAGUUAGUCAAAGGAGGUACAGCUCCUUUGAAUCAAGACACAACUUUAACAGGCGGGUAAAGAUCAUAAUAACCAAAGCUAGACAUUCUGGUGGGCCUAAAAGCAGCCAUCCCUUAGAAAGCGUUAAAGCUCAAACAUAUUACUUAUACCUUCUUAUCCUGAUCAAUAAAUCUCACCCCCCUAACCAUACUGGACCCUCCCAUGCCCCCAUGGGUGUGAUUAUGCUAAUAUGAGUAAUAAGAGAGCCCGCCUCUCUCCCUGCACACGUGUACCUCGGAACAGACAACCCACCGACCAUUAACGACCCCAAACAAAGAGGGUAAUAAAUCAUAAACUAAAAUCAAGUAAAACAUUUAAAAAUUAACCGUUAACCCCACACAGGUGUACCCCAAGGAAAGACCUAAAGAAAGAGAAGGAACUCGGCAAACACAUAAAGUCUCGCCUGUUUACCAAAAACAUCGCCUCUUGUACCCCCC
rnacentral:rRNA from 1 species